UGAACGCUGGCGGCGUGCCUAAUACAUGCAAGUCGAGCGAACAGACGAGGAGCUUGCUCCUCUGACGUUAGCGGCGGACGGGUGAGUAACACGUGGAUAACCUACCUAUAAGACUGGGAUAACUUCGGGAAACCGGAGCUAAUACCGGAUAAUAUAUUGAACCGCAUGGUUCAAUAGUGAAAGACGGUUUUGCUGUCACUUAUAGAUGGAUCCGCGCCGCAUUAGCUAGUUGGUAAGGUAACGGCUUACCAAGGCAACGAUGCGUAGCCGACCUGAGAGGGUGAUCGGCCACACUGGAACUGAGACACGGUCCAGACUCCUACGGGAGGCAGCAGUAGGGAAUCUUCCGCAAUGGGCGAAAGCUUGACGGAGCAACGCAGCGUGAGUGAUGAAGGUCCUCGGAUCGUAAGACUCUGUUAUUAGGGAAGAACAAAUGUGUAAGUAACUAUGCACGUCUUGACGGUACCUAAUCAGAAAGCCACGGCUAACUACGUG
rnacentral:rRNA from 1 species